CUUCCUUAUACUCUGGGGUACAUCCACAUGCUGUUGCACUUGAGUAUGUGAGAAAAAAUUGCAAGUUGUAAAAUUCGUUUAACUGGUUUUGGGACAUUGUAACAGUGCUUUUGUCUGAAGACUAUAAUGUACAUGCAUAGAUUAACUGUUUUGCAUUUUAUUGAUAUACAUAACUAGGUGUGACACUUACAUUACAUUUUCUUUCUGCUAUAGUUUGAAGAAUUGGUUAAUAGGACUAAAAGCAAAUCAUUGUACACUUUUUCUAGCUACAAAAACUGUUGCAGAACAAGUUAUGUGUGUACUACUAUGAAGCUGUAGUUUACAGCAAUGGAGCAUAUAUACCGGUUAAGGAAAGGGAAAACACUCACCAUCUCAGUCUAUUUGUGCUUUAUAAAUUAACUUUUCCAUUAUGAGAAAUGGAGGCCUUGUCACUAUUUUCAUGUAUGUUUACUAGAGGGACAGAGCAGUUUUCUGAAAAGUGGUAUCGUUUGCCGGAUACAUUUGGUAGCUCAUACUAUAAGGAUACUUUGUCCUAGUGGGUGUGGAAGUGAAAUUAGUUUUGAGGGUUCUAUAUGCUUUAUUUAUUGUAACAACUCAAGAUCUUUGAAUA